GACGAACGCUGGCGGCGUGCUUAAUACAUGCAAGUCAACUUGACUUUAGAUAGCAAUAUCGAAAAGUAGGGUGGCGCACGGGUGCGUAACGCGUAGGUAAUCUGCCCUGAGGUCUGACAUAACCCGUCGAAAGGCGGGCUAACAUCAGAUGAUAUAUAAUCACGACAUCGUGGAAAUAUCAAAAUCUUCGGAGCCUUGGGAUGAGCCUGCGUCUGAUUAGGUAGUUGGCGGAGUAAUAGCCCACCAAGCCUACGAUCAGUAGCUGGUCUGAGAGGAUGAUCAGCCACACUGGAACUGAGACACGGGUCCAGAUCCUACGGGAGGCAGCAGUAAA
rnacentral:rRNA from 1 species